rnacentral:lncRNA from 1 species
GUUUAUAAUCAUUUUUUAUAACAGCGAAUGUCAUAAAAACUUAAGCUCAUCACAUUAUUUUAUUGAUGAUUCGAUCAGUAAUCUGCUCGAUCUGAAACAAGGACAACAGAUGGAGGUGGAACACAUGCAGAAAACAACAAUGAACAGACGCAGAGAGCAGCAACAGUAGACACCGAGUCGGCUAGCUAAGCCUGGUGUGAUGAUGAUGCUCGUAGAUAACUUAAUGAAGGCUGCAAACACACAGACACAAAAGCUCAACGAUUAGUCUUACUAUUUAUACUUACAAAUUAAGAUUAAAUGGCUAACGAGUACUUAGAAUAUAAUCUUUCAAGUUAGGAGUGGAGGAUGUACUUGUUGCAGUUGACGUUGUUGUUGAUGGGGAAAGAGACGGAGACGCCGCACUUGCCGGGGAUGUUGGCGGCGUUACCCAUGCUGAUGCCAUUGAACGACCCCGCCAGGUUCUUGAGGCAGCGGCACGCCGCCUGCCGGUCUGCCGAGGUGGACGCCUUACCGUUCAGGGUCCUCACCCCGCUGCAGCACCCCGCCGAGGGUGACGAUGCUUGCCCCGUCGCGUAGGACAUGCACGGCGCGAUGGCGGACGUCACGUCGCUGCAGGUCACCGCCCCAGACGCCAUUUCCGCCACCGCCAGUGCGGCGAGCACGCUGAACACGGCGAGCAGUGCCACGCGAGCCAUCGAGGAUCUAGUGCUUCAGCUUCCUUGCUGGAAAUGGAGCUGGGAAGGAGCAGAGAGCUUGAUUGGCUUGUGUGGUGGUGGUGGAGAUGGAAUGGAACUCCGUGGAGCGGGGUAUAAAUAGCCGGCUGGUGAGAGCUGGCAAGAAGAAGAAGAAAAAGAUAAGGUGUUCCUGCAGCAUUGCACUGCUGGGUGGCGGACGGUGGUGCGUGCAUGCGCAGUACUACGUAGCUAGCGGGGCAUGCAUGCAUGCAUGUGCAUGAGGGUGGUUGGGCGCUGGGGACCGUACGAUGAAUCGACCGGUCGCGUCCACUGCACGCAUGUGACACUUUUUAUUUACACACAAUACGUUAUAUAAAAUCUCCCUAGUUUAGAAUUUGGGUCAGUCGAUUUUCACGUGAAGAAAGAAGCCCAAUGAUGACGUCAAGGACUCGGAUGCGAGCGCGUGUCCGAGUCCUUGGAUGUCAGGCAGGGGCGAAUGCACGUACAAGCUUGUGGGGGCGAAUGCCCCCACUCCUUUUUUUCAGCUUACGUGUACCAGGCCAGAAUAUACAGAGCUGCCCCCACUCAGCCCAAGCUAUUUGCCCCCACUUCCUUUUUUCCCCCUGCUGUAUGUUGAAAGCCCGUCUAUGAAAAUUACACAGGGUUAUAAGCCCAGGAGCCCAUCCUCGAUUUGCUAGAAACGUACGAGGUCUUUCGGAGUUUCAGAUGUGUUCGUCGCCUGUGCUCGCGUGACGCCUUUACAAGCUGUAACCGCCGCGCCGCCGCCUGUGGCUCUAGGCUGCACAUACACCUCGCCCCUUUGGCGAUCAGCCUCGAUCUGCACUGCGCACGCCAGCCAGCCGGCCCGCCAUGCGCCAUCCCCAAGGUAGAAGCCGUACUAAUCAAUCAUUCAAUCAAGGUAAGCCCAAGGUUUAGCUCUCUUCUUUUCUUUCUAAUUUCCCCAUUAUUAUUUUAUUCUGAUUUCCAUGUCAAAGAGGUAGUGAAUUGUAUCAAAUAUCCAUAUGUAUAAAUUAUAAUGUACAAAUUGGUAAUUAGGUUGAUUGAAUCUAGGUUCCCGUGAUAAUUCCAUAUGGAUAAGUUUGAACACAUGGGAGUAAAAUAAAAUCUAUAGUAAUAUUCUUCCUUCACGGUCUCAAUUUAUUUAACCUUAAACUAUUCGGCAUUGACAGGAAAGCUAAUGGAGAGGUGUUUAUCUGUCAAUGUUUAUAUGCUCUCUAUAUUCAAACAUAUUUCUUCUUCAUGCGGCUUGAAGGCUAGAAAUGAGGGGCAUACCAACAAAAAGGAAAGACAUAUUCAAGUUAUUGUGCCUCAAGUGGUUAGUUUACUCUUACUUUGGCAAUGAACUUAUCAUAAUUAAUUAAUUAUGUGUGUGAUAACAUUAUCUUAUAAGAAAGUAUGUGAUUUUGCUUCUUACACAUUAAAUGCAUGGUUGUGUGGUUUUUUUUAAUUAUUUAGCCAUUAGUUUGAUAUAUAUUUCGGAAAAAAUUACAUAUACAUCUUUGCCCCCUCUUGGUUUUCAUCCUGGCUCCGCCCCUGAUGUCAGGGAACUAGCGGUUGAAGGCAGCGUAGGAGUCGGAACUAGCAGUUGAAGGCAGCGUAGGAGUUGGACCGUGCUGCACCGCGAAGAACAGGGCGUGGGGGAAGCCCAUGCCCACAUCCUCGUGAAGCAACAAACUUGGGCCGCCCGUGCCCUCGCCGGCAUGCCUCCAGAAUCGGACGAGAUGUUUGUUGUCUUUGUUGUAGUAUAUGACGCCGUUGUUGAACUUUUGUUGUCCUAUGUCAUCCGAUGUUUGAACUAUGUCCUAUGUAUGCUACAUAUAUGUUGAUCGAUGUUCCAUAACUUUGUAUGGAUUUGAGGGUUCGUAAAUGAGGAGCAUUGUUACCCGAGCGGACAAAUGGGGGUUGAGCCGCGGAAUUCCCUAUCCGCCGCAUUUUGCGGCAAAAUGCCGACCUGCCGCACACCCUUUGACCGUUCGUGGGCCGGCCCGUGUCGGAUGCAUCAUACAGAUGAAAAUCGCUACAGAAUUCCCUAUCCGCCGGAUUUUGCGGCAAAAUGCCGACCUGCCGCACACCCCUUGACCGUUCGUGGGCCGGCCCAUGUCGGAUGCAUCAUAUAGAUGAAAAUUGCUAAAAAAAGUGAAGAGAGGGAGGAUUUGGACCUCAAACCUCCCACUUCUAGAGAUUUGAGUAUAACCACUCGACCAUAACAACACUAGUGUUCUAUAAGUGCAAAGAGGUCUGCUAUUAUAUGUUUCUUUCUUUCACGUUUUUUCAUUUUUUGUUUUCCUUUUUCUUUCUUUCUUUUAUUUUUGUUUUAGAAAUAUCGCAACUUCAAAAAAGUUCAAUAUAUUUCAUACUUUAUUCGGCUUUUUAUAAAACAUGUUUGAUUUUUUUGUUCAGGUUUCAAAUAACAUUCCGUGCUUUUCAAAAAAUGUACAAAAUUUGUUCAUGUUUCAAAAUGUGUCCGGUGUUUCAAAAUUUGUUCAUGAUUUUCAGAAAAUGUUCGUGUUUUCAAAUUUGUUCAGAUUUUCAAAAAGUUUUGGAAUUUCACAUUUGUUCCCUUUUUCAAAAUUUGCUCGUAAUUUUCAAAAAAUGUUCGUGUUUUCAAAUUUGUUCAAAUUUUCAAAAUAGUUUUGGAUUUCACAUUUGUUCCCAAUUUUCGAAAAUUGUUCGUGUUUUUCAAAAAAUUAUUCGCAUUUUCAAAAAAUGUUCACGUUUCAAAAUUUGGAUAGACAUUUCAAAAAUGUUCAAGAAUUUUGAAAAAUGUUUGUGGUUAUAAACUUGUGUUCAUACUUUCACGAAAUUUUCCAUUUUUAUUUUUUUGUUCACCAGUUCAAAAAAUGUUCCCUGUUUGAAUUUUUCUUCAGAAUAUCACGAAAUGUUCACCAGUUCAAAAAAUGUUCAUACUUUCACGAAAUUUUCCAUUUUUAUUUUUUUGUUCACCAGUUCCAAAAAUGUUCCCUGUUUGAAUUUUUCUUCAGAAUAUCACGAAAUGUUCCAUUUUUCAAUUUUUUGUUCACAAAUUCAAAAAAUGUUCGUGGUUUCAAAUUUGUUUGGAAUUUCAUAAUUUGUUCACAAAUUCAAAAAAUGUUCAUGGUUACAAAUUUCUUUAGAAUUUCAUAAUUUGUUCACACGGUUUCAAAUUUGUUCGGAAUUUCAUAAUUUGUUCACAAAUUCAAAAAAUUGUUCACGUUAUCACAAAAACAAUUUCUGACUUUUCAAUUUUUUUGUUCACAUAUUCGAAAAACUUUCUUGUCUCUAUUUUUUCAUGAAUUCAAAAAAUGUGCGCACUUUUUUAAAGAGACACAUUCGAAGAAACUAUACUUUAAAACAAAUCAAUACAACAAGUAAUUUUGGGUUCACUACAUCAAUCGUUUCCUGUUCGCUACAGUGCACAAGUCAGGUUUAGUUCUUUAAAACAUGCGCUGCACUUUAACCAACUGUGCUAGUCUAGUCUGCUGGCGACGUGUCCGCGGUCGCUCCCACUUGGUCGCAAGUUCGAAUCCUCGUUGCGCCUGACUUCUGUUUUUGCCAUUUUUCGUCCCGCGGUGAAGCUUUAUGGGCCGGCCCAGUCGAGCUGCACCUGUGCGUCUGGCCACCAAUUUGACGCAAAGAGCGUCCAAUAGGAGCUCUCUUGAGCCGCUCCUAUCCACCGAUGCGUCCUCAGUUUGCGUCCAAUAGGAGCUCUCUUGAGCCGCUCCUAUCCACCGAUGCGUCCUCAGACAUACAUGGGGUAAAAUUAAGUAAGUCUGGUUGGAGAUGUUCUAAGCUAGCGUGAUAAGGCCCCUGGGUGGGGGCAUUAUCUAUAAGAGCAUAAUCUAUAUAUGCAGCAGAAUAUGUUGUGUCUGACUAUAUGUCUCAACAAUGUAAUGAGUUAUAUAUAUAUAUAUAUAUAUAUAUAUAUAUAUAUAUAUAUAUAUAUAUAUAUAUAUAUAUAUAUAUAGACACGCUAAACUAAGCCAGAGCGCAUUAUAGGCUAUCGUACGCGCCGGCUGCCCGACCGAGUCUCUCAACUACUCUAAUUAGUCCGCUCCGCGCGCCUCCUUACCGGUUGGAAAUUCACCGUAAAAAACUAAUGGGACAUGGUAAUGGACUUUAAUCAUUACUACGGCUCUCCACUGUUGGAUAGUAAAAUUUGCUAUGUCUUCACUGUAAUAAACUAAUGGAACACAGUAGCGGACCCUAAUCAUUACGACUCUCCACCAUUGGAUGGUAAAAUUUUCUAUGCCUGUUCAGGCCUAUUUGCACGUAGUAAUGUGUUCAUAAAACGUAGUUGCAAUUUGUGAAGGGAACAUAGUAAUCAGGUUAUUAAAUUCUUUGGCCAAUUUUGCGCAAAAAAUAAUAAACCAAAGUAGAUCAGUCGUAAGCUUAAAAUAUUUUAUGUUUAUUUAGACUUCUUUAAUUCUCACUAGUACGUGAUUUUCCGCCAUACCACAUCGUAAUGCAAUUACUAGCACCUACUGUAGCUAGUAGGAUUCAUGCAUAGAGUGGUAACGCUGUUACCAUAGGUACAUUUUCCAUUUAAAUAAAACAAAACUAAUAUUCAAUGUCAGCCGUUAGCCACGUACAUGGUAAUUGUAUUUCUGACAUACAGUAAACCAAUUACUAGAGGAACCGUUCACCGGCGCUUACUUUUUCCAAGCGUUGGCUAGAAUCGUACAUUCUUUUAACAUAGUAAACCAACUAAUCUCAAAAAAAAACAUAGUAAACCAACUACUAUGUGUUCACCUUAUUUUACGAUCAGAGGACUGACUGCUGCACGGCCUCGUAAUGGAUUUACUGCUGCAAUGCCUCGUAAUGUACUAGUACUUCCGUUACCAUGUACGCUGAUAUGAUUACCGUCAUUAGUAGAUGGUGGGUUCAAGCGUCUAGUGUUGCGGGGCGGAGAUGGGGCGCUGACUACGGUAAAAGAAUUUAAUCAAUUACUAUUUUUUGUAUUGCUUGUUACUUCCAUUUCCUAAUCCCUAUAGGGACAGGAACAAGCGGCCCGUCGGGUGGGUCAUUAGCGACCAGCGCGUACGAUUAGGCGUUUUGCGCUCUCGCGCAGUUUAGCGCNNNNNNNNNNNNNNNNNNNNNNNNNNNNNNNNNNNNNNNNNNNNNNNNNNNNNNNNNNNNNNNNNNNNNNNNNNNNNNNNNNNNNNNNNNNNNNNNNNNNNNNNNNNNNNNNNNNNNNNNNNNNNNNNNNNNNNNNNNNNNNNNNNNNNNNNNNNNNNNNNNNNNNNNNNNNNNNNNNNNNNNNNNNNNNNNNNNNNNNNNNNNNNNNNNNNNNNNNNNNNNNNNNNNNNNNNNNNNNNNNNNNNNNNNNNNNNNNNNNNNNNNNNNNNNNNNNNNNNNNNNNNNGGGCAAGUUGGAGAAAGGCCAAAUUUUUGGUAUUGCUAAAGUUGUUAUAGAGUUUUUUUUGCGGAAUAAAGCUGUUAUAGAGUUAGGCAUGACACACUCUUCAUUAGCCAUAAUCAGUUUAAAUUUUAGAUAAACAAUAUCCUUCCUACUUAUAAAAUUCGACUUGGUGGUCAUUUGUUCAUUUCCUUCUCAACAUUUCUCUUUUAAACCAUGCCAAGUGGUCACUACUGGAAUCAGCUUCUUUGCCGUCCGUCAUGGCAGACGGCAAAGGCACAGAUCCCGGAUGGCAAACUCCUUUGCCGUCAGCCAGCGGACGACAAACUGUCCGUCUGAACACGUGCCAGCAAAGGCCUUCUUUGCCGUCCGCCAUCCGAGGCAAGCAGACGACAAAGAGAACGAACGACAGUGGGGUGGGGUGAGAGCCGUUAGGGGGUUAACGGCGCUCUUUGCCGUCCGCUGACAGACGACAAAAAGCUCAGCUAGGCCAUCACUGGGAAGCUGCCACGUGGCCAGCUAUGCCGUCUGCCAGCGGACGGCAAAGUGACCAAAUAGGCAGCCAGUGUUCCCAGUUUAUACAGGUGGCUGCCACGUGUCCUCUUUGCCAUCCGCUAGCAGACGUCAAAGAAGCUAUAUAUCCCCUGUUUUUAUUUAUAUCUUUUUAAUUUCACAGGAAUUCACACACAGAUAUACAUUUUUUUCACAGGCACAACAGACAUAUGAUGUAUCCAACACAUAGCUCCACCCAUGACAACAUACAUACAUAAGAAACACAGUUCCAUCCAUACAUAUUAUAGUAAUAUCACAAUGUUCAUCCAACACAUUGCUCCAUGCAUCCAUAUAACAAGUUCCACAUUUUUCAUCGAUACAAACGAAAAGAAGAACAGGGAGACAAGCAAUCAAUCCAUGCAAGCUUCCAUAUAGUGAAUUAAAUCUGCAAAAUGGAAAACAAGAAAGUUAGAAGAAGAAGACUAGAAUCAGAAGAAGAAGAAGAAAAUGAAGAAGAAGAAGAGGAAGAAGGAGAAGUUAGCAUACUUAGGUAAAAUGGAGCUAACCUAGCUAAUUAUGCUAUUUUUGAGUGAACUAACCUAGGUAACUAAGCAUAUUAGAGCUAACUUAGAGCUAACUUCAUUUUGGAGAAGAAGAAGAAAACUAGAAGAAGAAGAAGAAGAAGAAGACUUUCUUCUUCUUCUUCCUAUUCCUUGAUUUUCUUCAUCUUAUUAUGUCAUUUGUGGACUAAAUAGGCUAAAUUAUGUCAUAAAUGGACUAAAUAGGCUAAAUAAGAAGAAAAAUGCCAUUUUUGAGCUUAAGUAGCUAAUUAUGCCAUUUUUGACCUAACUAAGCUUAUUGUGUCAUUUUAGAGGACAACAAGCUAAGUAUAUGACAUUUAUGAGGUUAGCAAGGUUAUUAUGCAAACCUAGGAAACUAAGCAUAUAAGAGAUAACUUAGCAUAUUAGAGCUAACUUAUGUCAUUUCGGAGGAAACAAAGCUAAGUAUAUAUAGAUCAUUUUGGAGAUCUGACAUACCUGACAUAGUUCACUCCUCCUUCCUCUUCUCCUGCUCCUUCCUCAUCCUGAUGCGCCAAGAGCGGCGAGGCGGUGGAGGCAGUGGGAUGUAGUCUUCUACCACAAUUGGCAUGGUCAUGUCGCCUGGAUGUGGGAUCACCGGUGCCACCACCAUUGCGAGCUCAUUGUCAGGCACCACCACCAUCGCGAAGCCAUCUUCAGGCAGCACCAUCGCUAGGUCAUCCUCAGCCACCACCAUCUGUUGCCCAUCGUCAGCCUGCACCUCCUCAUCCCCACUAUGCUCCUCUUCUUCCCCACUCCAUUUUGGAUCAUCCUCGCUGCUACUUUUGCUGCAGCCCAUUGCCUGACCAAAUGCAAUAAUGACCGUUAAAAUCGAUGUGAGACAAAGCCAAAUGUAGAGUAAGAAGAGGCAGAAGGCAUCAUCGUCGUCCUGGUAGCGCAUGCGACACAUAGUCGUGUUGAACACCUUCACGGUGACAUGGCGUCGCCGUCGUACCUGAAGAGAAGGAAGUACCCGUGCCACAGGUCGUAGGCAUGGUAGAACUGCUCCCAGCCACAACACAGGUACAUGUGGCCGUUCCUGAUCACCAACUCCACGUCCCAAUGCCUGUGAAGCCCGCUGCUGGCCUAUCGUAGCUUCACAUUCUUUAGCCGAUGGCCGUCCAGCAUCUUCAUAAAAGUGUCAGGCAGCCUCUAUAGUGUGGGUCAAGGAGUGAUGUAGCAAAUAUCAGAGUUAUCAUAAAGAGAUGGGUGAAGGGGAGAUCUCUCCUUUUAUAUACCUGCCUCCUGGAGGAAUUCUCAAGUAUGAUAGUGAAGGACUCAAAAGCAUCCAACUCGUACUCCAGUGUGGCAGAGCGCAACCUUCCGGUGGCGGCCUCCCCCCAUCUCUGAUAAGCAGCAGAAGAGACCAAUUAGUAAUGCUCAUGUUUCAAAUUGAUCAUAGACAAAUUGAUGAUAGGUACAUUAGCAGUAAUAUUAUGGUCAUCACCAAUAAAUCAUUAGAGGAUAAAUGCAUUAAUAUUGACCAAGAAUUAUAAAGUUCCAAAUUGUGCAUAUUUACUUGAAUGUUCCACAAAAUGGCAACCUUUGCAUGUGCAUAAUUCUAAAUUGUACUGAAUGGCAGCUGUUGCCCCUAACUGAACUAAACCAAAUUGCAAAAUCUUGCCCAGAACUGAACUUGAAGACAACUAAAUGGUAACUAUUGCCUACAACUGAACUGGCCUUGAGAGAAGAUGGCAAAAUAGAUCAAUUUGUGAGCAUGUCAUUGCAAGAAGGUGCUGGUGGCGAAGCAGAUCAACUAAACUAAACUGAACUACGGCCCAGAACUAAACACUUGAGCAGAAAUCAACAAUACAAAGUGGCAAAUUAUUUCAUUUGCUUGCUUCUUUAGACUCUCACUAAAAUUAGGCAUGGAAUUUCACUAAAACAAAAAGUGUAUCACCAUAACCCAGUAAAAUUAUCAUCUGGGACUAGUCUCUGUAGUUUAAACAAGGAAGCAAGAUCUUUCUUUCAAAUUAUCAUCAUAGUUGUAAACUAACUAUAUGAUCAAGAUUACCAUGCUACAAUGAUCACAGUACGAAAAACACAAGUGAUUCGCACUCAAUAUUCUGUAACAAUCCCAGUUCACACAAUAUAAAACCUGAAUUUAAUAGCUAGUCACUUUGUCCUUAUUCACUUAAUAGAAUCUGAAUUCAAACUUUGUUGUUUCUGCCUAACUGAUACUAAAAACACUAGUACAACUCCAUUCCUAAGCAUCUUCUACACCACAUAUGAACCACCGACAAACCUAAACCACCAGCAAAUUCGCACCAAGAAUAGGAACAAAUCAUGCUGGAAAGAAAUGGAGGAAGGGGGAAUUUUUCGCUGUACCUUGCUUCGACAUCUUGGAAGAGGGGGCUGUACCCGGCGGCGGCGGCGGAGGGGGAAGGACGAUGCUGGGGUGGAGGAGGGGGGCGCUGCGGCUCGGGCACGGGAGCGGNNNNNNNNNNNNNNNNNNNNNNNNNNNNNNNNNNNNNNNNNNNNNNNNNNNNNNNNNNNNNNNNNNNNNNNNNNNNNNNNNNNNNNNNNNNNNNNNNNNNNNNNNNNNNNNNNNNNNNNNNNNNNNNNNNNNNNNNNNNNNNNNNNNNNNNNNNNNNNNNNNNNNNNNNNNNNNNNNNNNNNNNNNNNNNNNNNNNNNNNNNNNNNNNNNNNNNNNNNNNNNNNNNNNNNNNNNNNNNNNNNNNNNNNNNNNNNNNNNNNNNNNNNNNNNNNNNNNNNNNNNNNNNNNNNNNNNNNNNNNNNNNNNNNNNNNNNNNNNNNNNNNNNNNNNNNNNNNNNNNNNNNNNNNNNNNNNNNNNNNNNNNNNNNNNNNNNNNNNNNNNNNNNNNNNNNNNNNNNNNNNNNNNNNNNNNNNNNNNNNNNNNNNNNNNNNNNNNNNNNNNNNNNNNNNNNNNNNNNNNNNNNNNNNNNNNNNNNNNNNNNNNNNNNNNNNNNNNNNNNNNNNNNNNNNNNNNNAGGUCGGGGCUCCGUAGGGGAGGGGUGCGGGGCGGCCGGCUACGGCAGACGGGGUCGGCGGCGGCGGCGUGGGUGUGGUGGGGAGGGAAUGAGAGAGUGAGAGAAGAGAGAGAGGACGUGGGAGGGACGGCCGUUAACGUACCCGCCUCUUUGUCGUCCGCCAACGGUCGACAAAGAGGUGGGGCCGGUGGGCUGUAGUUGGUUAAACAAUAACUGGACCCACCCAAUUCUUUGCCGUCUGCUAACAGACGGCAAAGAAUUGGCUGAUGGCAAAGACCUUGUUUGCCAUCAGCCAAUUUUUUGCCGUCCGUUUUCUUGUGGCUGACGGUAAAGACCUUCUUUGCCGUCAGCCAACAGACGACAAAGAGUUGGCAGACGGCAAAUAAGCUAAUUCCAGUAGUGGGUGAUGGUUCCCCCAAACAAUCCUCAAUUCCACCAGGAUAGAAUUUGGAGAGAGAUGGGACAUACCCAGUGUGCCAUGGAGCGCAACGACAACAAUUGUUUGACAUGCAAAGCAAUACAAUUUGUUGAUCCAUAGCUAAGCAUGGGUAUUUAGCUAGUAAAUUCUAAGUACUCAUGCAUGGACUCCAUGGUUUCGGUACAAAAUGAAAAUUAAGCAUGAACCGAUGGCCACCAAUUUACCCCUCAAUAACAACAUUAAAAUUUGGAGAAAAAGAGCACCCCCAACAAUCGAGAGCGGAAGAGACGAGUUGACACUUUAUGUUGUCUAGAAUUAUCUAUUAGUUACACCCAACAUAAAAUCAUGUACUCAAGUAUUUAUGGAAGUUAUUUGCUAGAUAUCUAAAACACUCUUCAAAGUUAUGUAUACAUAAGGAUAUUAUGGAAAAGAAUGCAUACAUACAUAGAGUGCAUCAAUAAAUUUAUGAAAUAAUGUGAAAAUAUUGAUUUUAUCAUAUUUAUGGUGAAAUAUAUUGUCAUGAAAGAUUUUUCUCAAAACCCCAAACUGAAUAAUAAAACCAACUGCAACAAAUACUGUUCCAAUUUACACUAGAAACAUAUUUGUAAUGACAAAUAUUAUAAUUACGUCUCAAUAGAAAUGAAUUUGGUACAUUGUUAGUGCUACUAGUUAUGAAAUAGUUCCGGCAUGUUAUAUGGAAAGAUAUGUCAAAACAUCAUAAAUAUAGAGAAAAACCUAAAAUAUUACAAAGUAAAAAACCUCAAUAUAAACUAGGUAAUAUACAUUUUUAUCUCGCAUUGGCCCCAUGAAUCAGAUGGCACGGGUUUUGGCACGCUCAUCCUACUUCAUCAUAAAAUCGAACAUGACAUCGCCCAUAGUAAAUUAUUAUCCACGAGGGAGGCAAUAGUCACCAUAGAAAUUCAGAAAGCUCAUAGGUCUCAAGUUCAUGUCUAACAUCUAUAAAAAAAACCUCUGGAAGAGUGAUGUGCCUCCCAAAGAGCAAUUCUUCACAUGACUGGUUAUGUGAAACGUUGUUGGAUGGAUGACCGUCUUUCAAGGCGUGGCAUGCAACACGCUUCCUCAUGCACGUUCUAUGACCAGAUACCUGAAUUGAUUGCUCAUACAUAUUGAUCCAGUGUCCCUUCACGAGGCAUUUUUGGUUGCUCUUUCGUCGUAGUUUCAAGCUCCGUCAUCUGACCCGAAUGCAGAUGUCAGGGUCAGAGAUUGGUGGUGCUCUAUGGAUAGGAAGAUGUCCUAGAUUAGUGCCAAGGAGAUGGCUACAUCAUGAUAGUGGGUCUUCAUAAGCUAUGCUUGGAACAUAACACCCGAGUUUUUGAUGAUAUAGCGCCGACUGCAUAGUGGGUCGCCCAGAUGGCGGUGAAUGAGUACAAGCUUUGGAUUCGAGCAAAGCGGAGAGAGAUAGAAGUUGAUGAGGAAUAUGCUUAGUUGUGGUUUAGGUGGAGGAGGUUUUGGCCGAUCUUUCCCUUUGGUGUAACAAAAUCUUGUUCUUGUUUCUUCACCAUUUGCUUGUAGUUCACUCUCCCCCUUCCUAAUGAAAUUGAUAGUCAACUAUUGUUUCUUGUUCUUAUUUUUUUUAUAAAAACUUGCAUUAUCUGUUUUGUACAAAAACAAGUUGUACAUAAGAAAAUUAUCCCAAAGCACACAACAAAUUCAAAAUCAACAAAACAAUACCGAAGUCACCAUCCUUGUGAAAUACUUCAAUGUUAUGAGCUACCGUAACACAGAAUUGUGAAAUGAUGUAAAUCCUUGUCCGUGUAAAUGAUUGGCAUGUUUACAAAAUAAGGACUUGUCUAAAAAAUAACCAUCCAUCCUUCUAUCACAACUCGUGUUAUGGGGCUCUAUAGCCCACCAGUUGAUAUAGUCCUUUCUAUUUUUUUAGCACCAAGUUUUGGUUCCCCAAACUCGGCCUGAGGACAACUCUAAUCCACCCCCAAGAAAAUAACUCCAAGAAAACUACCAUUUUUGGGGAAUUAGACAUAUCUGACACAACCCCAAAAGUCUAUAACUCCCAAAUAGUUGUCGAUCAAAUCAAGCCCCCUCCCAAUAUUAUCGGGGCUAAGUGAGCUAUCCAAUCAAUCUUCUAAUGGACCAAAUUCAUGCGGGAGGCAACUUACAUUUCGAAUUGCCACACACACUACCACUGCGAUUCACCGCACCGGGCUUGUCUCUAGCCACGCCACUGGCUAACGCACCCCAAUCCGCCCCACUGACCUUGCCCUGCCUUCCCUUGUUGCUCGCCACAAAUGGAAUCGCCUCCCAACCUGGCCCGCAACCACUGCCUUGUCAUAGUAUGGAUCCGAGAACCAGACCGACGAUGGUCACCGCUUGAGCUACAUGUUGCAUAAUGUUCGUGCCCCACCUAUAAAUAGACGUCGCCAAUGACCUCAAUUUACCCUGAUGUCCUCCGUUGUUGUGCCGCUCUCUCCACCACCGCCUUUUGACCCAAGAAAUAACAAGUUCCCAUGUCGUGUCGAUCAGGGAGCACAUGAUAGGGUGACAACUUCCUCCGGGUGAACACAAGUUGAGAUGACUCACUGAACCAGCCACCACAUGACCUCCUCUGUCAUGCCCUCAACCUAUUCGACAAGUGGUCCACAAGGUGAGUUGGCUUGAGCCAGUGGUGGAUCUUGAGCCAAAAACAUGGGGGGGGGGGGCAAACAUAAUUGUCUUGAACCUACUUUUGGUGAAAAAUAUGCCUAAUACAAAGGGAUAUAGGCUUGUUUUCUUGUGAGCUAGGGGGCCAUGGCCUAGGUUAGCCCCCAUGAAGCUCCGCCACUGGCUUGCGCAAGAGUUCUUUGACGAAUCAUCAUCAUCGGAGGAGGAAAGAUGAUGAUUAAUUUGAUAUGGUCUUGAUGAUGAUCGUGGAGGAAGAAGGAAGCAGUUCUUAGAUCGGUCAUAGGUACAUUCGUCAUAAUAGGGAAUAUGCAUAUGCCAAAAUCAUGAGAUACUAUUUCAUGGAAAGUUUAGUGUAUCAGGAAAACUUGUUCACACGAUGUCUAUGAAUGCCGACGAUGCUCUUUCUAGGACUACGGUCGAAGUACAUGAUUAUUGCCUCUUGCAAAGGGUGGAUGCAGUGAGAAAACUGUUGGGGAACGUAGCAGAAAUUCAAAAUUUUCCUACGAGUCACCAAGAUCUAUCUAUGGAGAAACCAGCAACGAGGGGAAGGAGAGUGCAUCUACAUACCCUUGUAGAUCGCUAAGCGGAAGCGUUCAAGUGAACGGGGUUGAUGGAGUCGUACUCGUCGUGAUCCAAAUCACCGAAGAUCCUAGUGUCGAACGGACGGCACCUCCGCGUUCAACACACGUACAGCCCGGUGACUUCUCCCAUGCCUUGAUCCAGCAAGGAGAGAGGGAGAGGUUGAGGAAGACUCCAUCCAGCAGCAGCACAACGGCGUGGUGGUGAUGGAGGAGCGUGGCAAUCCUGCAGGGCUUCGCCAAGCACCGCGGGAGAGGAGGAGGACUUGGGAGAGGGGGAGGGCUGCGUCAGAACUUGGGUGAAGCUCCCAUGCGCCUCCCCACUAUAUAUAGGGGUGGAGGGGGCUGGUUUCUUGCCCUCCAAGUCCAUUGGGGCGUUGGCAAAGGUGGGAGGAAAGAAAUCCCAUCAUUUCCUUCCCCACCGAUUGUUAUCCCCCCUUUUUAGGGAUCUUGAUCUUAUCCCUUCGGGAUAUGAUCUUAUUCCUUCUAAGGGGGAUCUUGGUGCGCCUUGACCAGGGAUGUGGGGCCUUGCCCCCACUACCCACGUUCAUGUGGGUCCCCCCAUGCAGGUGGGCCCCACUCCGGAACCUUCUAGAACCUUCCCGGUACAAUACCGAAAAAUCCCGAACAUUUUCCGGUGGCCAAAAUAGGACUUCCCAUAUAUAAAUAUUUACCUCCGGACCAUUCCGGAACUCCUCGUGAUGUCCGGGAUCUCAUCCGGGACUCCGAACAACAUUCGUUAACCACAUACAAACUUCCUUUAUAACCCUAGCGUCAUCGAACCUUAAGUGUGUAGACCCUACGGGUUCGAGAACCAUGCAGACAUGACCUAGACGUUCUCCGGCCAAUAACCAACAGCGGGAUCUGGAUACCCAUGUUGGCUCCCAAAUGUUCCACAAUGAUCUCAUCGGAUGAGCCACGAUGUCAAGGACUCAAUCGAUCCCGUAUACAAUUCCCUUUGUCUAGCGGUAUUGUACUUGCCCGAGAUUCGAUCGUCGGUAUACCGAUACCUUGUUCAAUCUCGUUACCGGCAAGUCUCUUUACUCGUUCCAUAACACAUCAUCCCGUGAUCAACCCCCUGGUCACAUUGUGCACAUUAUGAUGAUGUCCUACCGAGUGGGCCCAGAGAUACCUCUCUGUCACACGGAGUGACAAAUCCCAGUCUCGAUUCGUGCCAACCCAACAGACACUUUCGGAGAUACCUGUAGUGCACCUUUAUAGCCACCCAGUUACGUUGUGACGUUUGGUACACCCAAAGCAUUCCUACGGUAUCCGGGAGUUGCACAAUCUCAUGGUCUAAGGAAAUGAUACUUGACAUUAGAAAAGCUUUAGCAUACGAACUACGAUCUUUGUGCUAGGCUUAGGAUUGGGUCUUGUCCAUCACAUCAUUCUUCUAAUGAUGUGAUCCCGUUAUCAACGACAUCCAAUGUCCAUGGUCAGGAAACCGUAACCAUCUGUUGAUCAACGAGCUAGUCAACUAGAGGCUUACUAGGGACAUGGUGUUGUCUAUGUACUCACACAUGUAUCUGAGUUUCCUAUCAAUACAAUUAUAGCAUGGAUAAUAAAUGAUUAUCAUGAACAAGGAAAUAUAAUAAUAACUAAUUUAUUAUUGCCUCUAGGGCAUAUUUCCAACAAAAACUUAGUACAACUGCAAUUUAGAAGUGUUGUGCAACAAUGCAUGUGUUGGCAUAUGCAGUCCCAAGUGACUUGGCAUAUGAAUAUGUCCAAAUUUGCAAAGAUCUUAUCAUUACUUGUAUAAAGAGGUUUGCAAAGCAUGUGGUUGAGAUGUUCGGAGAAUAGUACCUAAUAGCAUCCAAUGAAAAUGGCACAACAAGGCUACUGAAUAUUGGUGCAAUGAGAGGGUUCCCUAGGACGCUUGGAAACAUCGAUUGCUUGCACUAGACAUCGAACAAUUGUCCUUCGAGAUGGAGUGGGCAGUUUACUAGGAUUUUGCAUGAUCUAACCAUCAUACUCAAAGUUGUUGCCUCCGAUGAUCAAUGGAUUUGGCAUUGAUACUUUGGUAUGCCUAGAUCUCACAAUAAAAACAAUGUCCUGCAAAGAACAAGUCUUUUUGUAAGGCUUGUUGCAGGGGAAACUUCAUCUUGCAACGUGGAAGUUACCGGUCACUAGUGUGAUAAGUGAUAUGACCUAGCAGAUGGUACCUACCCUUCAUGGUCCACAUUUGUCAAGAAAAAUUGAAAUACGGAAGGCAACAAGCACUACUAGGGAAAUGCUUAUAGGUAGGACAUCAGUAGUAGCACUGGAAAAUAACAAGCACUGCUGCUAGAGCAACGCUGCUCCGGGGCAGCGCUACAAGUGAUGCCUUAGUAGCAGCGUUGGAAAUGAAAAGAGCGCUACUCAUAAGUGGGACCCAAUGAGCCCACCGACGCUAGCUGUAGUAGCGCUUGUCUACCAACCAAUGCUACUACUAUGGGCACCUUAUCCAUCCUGCGUCCUCACUCUCCGCUCACACUCUCUCACUCGCUCUCUCUGCCACCACGUGCCAUCCCCGCCAUUGCCCGCCGUCACUCCUCUCUCCUCCCUCCGGCGGAGGCUAGGUAUCUGCCUCCCUCCUCCUCUCGCCGUCGUCCUCUCUCCUCCCUCUGGUGGCCCUCCUCUCUCCUCCCGCCGCCGCCGCCGGAUGCCCUCCUCCCACCUCCUCCGACCGCCCUGUGCCCUAAAUGUAGGUUUUUUGAAUAAAAUAGACGAAAAUCAGUAAAUGUACUUCAUUUGAAUAGAAUAGGAAAUUUUUAGUAAAUUUUCUUCUUUUGAAUACAAUAGAAAAUUAGUAAAUGUAGAAUAGAACAGAAAAUUAGAAACAAUUCAGUAAAUGUAGGUCUUUUGAGUACAAUUGAAUUUUUAUUCGUUUGAUCUUGGUCUUUUGAACCCAUUAUCUUUAAGUAUUAUAGGUAUCAAAUUAAAUAUGAAAAUGCCCAUGUCGAUGAUUAGAACUAUGUUUUACAAAUUUUUAGGGUUAGAACUUGGUUUUACAAAUUUUUGUUUUUGUUUUAGACAUAUGGUUUUAAUAAUGUUUUUGUGUAUAUUUUGUUUUUGUAGAAAUCAAGGAGCCCCUGCAUCAUCCCGGCCGCCGUCAUCCCCGUAACCGACCCCCUCCGACCUCGAGGUGAGACCAGCCAAAUCCCCAUAUAGAUAGAUGGAUGGAUGGAUAGCUAUGACAAUGUGAUGACCAGCCAAACACCUCCAAGUGGCCUAUGUUUUGACGAAGUGUCGACUAAUUUCCAUUCCGGCAAAUUUCAGGCGCUCGAUAUGUCCUUUCUAGCAAAGGUCAUGCCGGAUUAUUCCUUGAAUUUUGGAAUGACUUAUGCUAGAAUAUGUAGGAAAUAUCAAGGCGCUCGGAUUUUCUACAAAGAUAAUUAAACAACAUUUCGGAUUGACUUUAGGUCUGUCAAGGCUCCAUACAUGACGGUCAGAAAAUGAGUGAGGAAGAAUCCCGACUGUUGUCGUGGGGGUCAUUUCUCCUUCUUCUCCUUGUGCUAGACCUUUGUUAUGCACUAGGGGAAGGAGGAGUAACGACCAUCACUGACGGUCGAAAAAUCAGUGAGGGAGUGUCCACCAUAUAUGAGAGCGGACGAAGAAUCCCGACUGUUGUCGUGGGGGUCGUUUAUCCUUCUUCUCCUUGUGCUAGACCUUUGUUAUGCACUUGGGGAAGGAGGAGUAACGACCAUCACCGACGGUCGAAAUUCAAGAAAAGACUCGACAGACCAACAACCAAACCGUGAUGAAUAAUAAUGAUCUAAUUUAGUUUUUGGUGUACAUAUAUUGAAUUUUACAAGUUUAAUCUUUGAAUUAUGGACAUAGGAAAUGUCUGACGACGAUGAUAGGAUCCCGGAGUGCGACUACUGCGGCGACGACCAGGGUCUGUGCGAUAGGCCUCACCUGGUAGACGGUCGACACUUCAGUGUUAAUCUCGACGAGACGUUCGAUGUUGAAACAGUACACAAUGACAAGUCUUUUUUCGUAAUUAAGCAUGACUUAUGCUUCUUCAAUGUGUAAUUUUUGUCUUUUACAAUUCGACUAGCUUAUCCCAUGCCAUGCAAGACGCUAUGUCUUGGAGCAUCUGGAUUUCGAAGAUCAUAACAAUAUGGAGACAAAGAUAGUUCAUCUCAGGACCCAUCAUGGUUAUGAUUUUGCUGUAAGCUAUACAAUUCGGAGAGUGUACCCCAUUUUGGUUGCUCGAAUUGGGAAGCACUGUGCAAGGCAUAUGAUUUUCAGGAGGGUAUGUAUGUCACCUUCGUUCUUGGUGAUCAUGACGAUGGCAUUUGGGUCCUUGUUGACACGCUUCCGCUUCUACCUCUAUGUGAGUUUCUCAAACAUAUUUAUUAAGUAAUUUAUAUUUUUUAUUUCAAAAUAGUUGAGAACUUAUUUCAGAAUAGUUGACAGCUUAUUUUCAAUGACAACUUAUUUUCAUUCUUCAAAAAAUAUACGGAAGAUGGUAGACAGAACCUACUACAUUAAUGGCGCUGAUUUAACUUAUGAGGAGAAAGAUCAUCUUAUCUCAUUUAUUAUUGAUGUUGAGAAUUAUAAUAUCAAUUAUGAAACUCCUGCACAUUAUGGUCAAUAUGUGCCACUAGUGCGCGUGUUGAACUACAGUAACAUCCAUGGAGAUGGCAUGGUAAGAUUUUUACUAUGUCGACACCCAUGCAUUUUGCAUCUAUUCUUCUAAAGCUAAACUACAUUGCUAACCAUAAUGUUAUUAUUAUGUUUUUUCAACAAAAAAUCCUGAAGGAUUGUGUGUCUAAUCUGAUGUUUUUGAAAGGCCGGCUUGAUGUUAUUAGCUUAUGGCCAGGUCAUCCUAGGCUUCACCGUUGUUCAUACCGGAUUUCUAAAACCGAUGAAGACAUGACAAUCAAAGAAUGGAAAAAAUGUGUGGACAAUCAUAGGGAGCUACUUGGAAGCAACAUUGUGCGAAGCGCAAGAAUUGAAGACAGGAUAAUCUCCAUUCUCCAUAAUGGAGCGUCAGGGCCACUCUUGUUUUAUGCUAUUUUACCUUAAAGAGGGUAGUAGGUCCUAGCUAAUACUCAUGAUCAUGUGCUAAGAACAAUUAAAUGGGGUUGGUUAGAUGACUAAGAUGAUGAUGAGUAUGACUUGUUAUUAUGAUAACGAGUAGAAGUUGUAUGGUGAUGAUGAUGAGUAGGACUUGUUAUUAUGAUAACAAUGAUGAGUUAUAUAUUAUGAUGAUGAUGCAUGAUGCUAAGUUGUCAUAUGAGCAUAAUGAGUUAUUAUAUACAUCAGUGGGUGAAAUGAACUAUGUUGUGCAGGCAACAUGUUGUGCACAUAUCGAAAGUACUAAGCAGUAGUACUUUUGAUAUGUGCACCACAUGUUGCCUCCACUUGAAUCUAAUCCACAUUCAUUUCACCCACUGAUAUAUAUAAUAACUAAUCAUGGUCAUAAAAUCAUAUGAUGAAAGUACUUUAUAUAAAACCUAUACAAAUAUAGAGACAAUAAGCUGCAUUUUAAAAAAUAUAGGAAAAUUAAGUAGUAGCGCUUUUCAUAAGAAACGCUACUGCUACUUACUAUCAUCAGUAGCGCUAUUCCAGACCGAGCGCUACUGCUAACUAGGUAUAGCAGUAGCGCUGGAAAACCAGCACUACUACUAUCAGUUAGCUGUAGCGCCUUAGUGAUAGUGCUUGUAUAAGUGCUACUGAUAGCUAUAAAUCCAGCGCUACUGCUAGGAUUAUCCCUAGUAGUGAAGAGACCUCACCUUGCCUUCGCUCAAGAAUCUGUGAGAAAAGAUGUUGCGAGGGAUUUUUGUGUGUUGCAAGCUUGCUUUGUCACUAUUCUCAUGACAUGUUGUGUGAUCUUUCACAACAUGAUCAUAGAAAAUGAGAGAUGACAACCACACAACUUGGAUUUUGAUCCCAAUCAAGAUCAUUUCACACCUCUGUGUAAUGCAUCUAGACUCAUAGGUUUGAAGUGCAUCAACAAAUCAAAGAUAAGCAAACUCAUGUGAAACUACGGGAAGACCUUAUGAAGCACCACGGGCAAUGUCUUGGACAAUAAAUCUAUCAUGAAUCAUCCUGUGUAUUUAGAACAUUUGCUUCAUUUAGACCCCACGUGUUUAAAUUUGAAUUUGUAAGUCUGAAAACAAUGAGUUGGAAAUAUUGUUCAAAUAUUUGCAUCAUUGACAUCAAUAUUUGAACUACUAUGUUGUAGAAAUUAGUUCAAAUGGGGUCUAAAGUUUACAAAACAAAUUAAGAAAUGGCAAAGAAAGUUUUAUGAACUAAGUUUUGAGGAUAGGUUAGAUGUCACCCUCCCAAUACCUAGGAAUUUUUGGAGUUAAGUUUUAGGGAUUGAUUUUUGGGCACUAACUUCUAGGGAUGGAUUAGAAUUGGCCUGAUGAUGCUAGAUGCCGAGCUUUCGUUGAUGGUGGGGUGAUGCGAUGGCACCCAUAGGUCAUCGUUGUUUUUACUUGCUGGCUUCAAAGGCUUCCUAGAGUAUUUUGGUGGAGGUGUAGCUAUUGAACCACAGAGUUCAUCGUCCUCACUGGGCAAUGUUGAGGUCUUGAAGUUUGCAACCCUCAAUGUAUUUUUUGGCACCGGAACAACGAUAGAACCCCAUAGAGCAUCAUCUUCCAAUUUUGGUAGGGUGGAUUUGAUCUUGUUGAGUUUGAAACUACAUUUCACAAAAUGCAAUAGCAAAAGCAUAUAGAUUAUUAAGACUUAUGGUAGACCUACACAUGGUCUUACAUUGGAUAGAACAAAUGCACCAAGGCAACUGAAUAAAACUCACGGGCUUGCUUUGCUUGCACCACUCAACGGUAUUCAUAUUUGGAUAUGUCUUUUUUUUUGUUUCUCUAUGUGGUGAUUGAAUUUGGAUUUGAAAAUUUUAGAGAUGGUAGACACAUGUGAACAUUCACAGUUUUUUUCAUUUUUUAAUCUUUUGAAUUUGAAUUUUGUGUGUUGGUAUUAUGGCAUCACUGGAUACUCAUGCGAGAGCUCGGAACUGUUGACCACAUACUUUCUAGUAUGCACAUUUUUAUUACACAACAAGCAUAUGUAUGUAGUAAGAAAUAGUAAGAUCACAGUGAUUGCCAUGGCAACUGAGCAUACAUUUUUUUCUCUCCGUAGUUUCCUUUUGUUUUAAGCGAGAUGCCAUCAAUUUUCUUUUUCCCUAUCCACUCUUGGGAGCUUAGUCAUAGAUUGUUUUGGAAGGGGUAGACACCCAAUCUUCAUUUAGUGUCGUAAAGAUAUAUGCAAGCUAAUUGUGUUGUCUCUGCCGGUGUAAAGAACAUCGGCAUCAUCAAGUUUUCUACGUUGCAUUUAGUCAGUACAAAAUCACUUCAGAAAUGUGCCAUAUGCUGGUCUCAAAGACGUUAAUAACAUUUGCUAAAAUUGCCGGCAGCAACAUGCGUGCAUGAAACUAGUUUAUUAUUAUUAUUAUUGAUAACAGUGAAUUUCAUACAAAAUAAAGCUCAACACAUUAUUUUAUUGAUGAUUCGAUCAAUAAUCUGCUCCAGCGAGGCCGGUAUACCAAAGUGGUCGAGCUCGCGGCCGAGGAUGACGCGGCGGAGGAGCUCUAGUCCUCGUCGGAGCUGGCGAGGCCGAUGAACUUCUCCCUCUGCUCCUCACGGAUGCGCCGCCACUCGUCGUCCUUGUCCUUCGCUGCAAGGUUGGCCGCGACCGCCUACUUGAAGAUGAGGUCUUCGAGCCCCUCGUCGUGGCGCCGGCGCUCCGCCUCCUCACGCAAGCUCUAUUUGGCAAUGGCGGCCGCGGCCGCGUUGACAUUGGCCACGAAAUCUUCGGGCCCGACGACCGCGGGACCCCGCGGCACCCGAUCUCCCCCGGCUCCUGCUUGACGGCCACGACCUCGAUCUCCUCCGGCUCCUCCGACCACUCCCUCUUCACGGGGAGAAGCCCCGCGCCGGAAGAGGAAGAGCUCGCGGUGUGGGAAGAUCUCGCAGCGGAGGAGGAUCCCGCGGCCGAGGAGGGCGUACUAGUAGAAAACAGGGCUUUCGUUCGGGCCAGAUAAGCCCAUUAGUCCCGGUUCAGUCACAAACCGGGGCUGAUGUGAGCAUUGGUCCCGGUUCGUGCGGCUAAAGGCAUUAGUCCCGGUUCAAAUGAGCCCUUUAGUCCCGGCUUGAGACACAAAUCAGGACUAAAGGGUGUGAUGCCCUUUAGUCCCGGUUCGUGUCUCAAACUGGGACUAAAGAUUAGAGCUUUAGUACCGGUUCGUGCCUCAAACCAGUACUAAAGGUCCCAUUUUCAAACUCUACCCCCCCUCCCCCACUCCGUGGUUCACCUUUUCAGUUUUGUAAAAAGCAAAAGAAAAUGAUAAAAACUUCAAAAAUUAAAAUCCUUCGAGAUGUAGUUAUGUUACUACAUCUAUUAGUUAGGAAAAUUUAAAACUUAAAUUUGGACAUGUUUUGCAAAAAAAAUGUUAUGAAAAAGUAAAACGGCCCUAUCUUUUGCAUACGAUGUUGAAAAAAACCCGCAUAAUAUAUCAAAAAUAUCAGCACGAAAAUUCGCAUCCGAUUUUGACAGCCAUAGGCUUGUUUGCAAUUUUUUAGAAUCCUCAAAUUCUAAAAGGAAAAAAAAAUAUGCUCAAAUUUCAGUUUUUUUAAAUUUUGGUCAAACUAUGGUCAAACUACUUAUUGAAGGAGUAUUAGUGGUACUAAAUAAUUAUUCAAUAAUAUUAUUGUUACUAAAUAAAUAUUUCGGUACUUUGAAUUUUGGUCAAAUCUGGUCAAACUCUCGUCAAACUGUGGUCAAACUACUUAUUCAAGAAAUAUUAGUCUUACUAAAUAAUUAUUGUUUUUUAGAAUAAUUGUUUCAAACUCAAACAGUGAAACGUGUGACUUCAUGCUCAAGCUAAACUCCUGAGAGUUAAUAGGAUUGACAUCUUACUAUUGUGAGGAAAACAACAAGUGCAGACUUGGAAACGAGGGGGAAUAGAACCCGGAAGUUAAGCAUGCUCAGGCUGGAGUAGUGAGAGAAUGGGUGACCGGCCAGGAAGUUAGAUGAUUUGGAAUGAUGAGGGGUCAUUAGAGAAUAGAGGUUAAAUUGAGCAGUGAUGAGGGGUGAUUAGAGAGUAGAGGUUAAAUAAUUCGGAAAUUUGAAAAUCGAGAAAAAAAUUCAAAAAAAAAACCUUUAGUCCCGGUUUGUGUUACCAACCGGGACUAAAGGUGGAGCUCCAGACAGCGGCCACGUGGAGGGCCUUUAAUCCCGGUUCGUAUAAGAACCGGGACUAAAGGGGGGGCCUUUAGUGACGACCCUUUAGUCCCGGUUUCAGAACCGGGACCAAAGGCCCUCUAGAACCGGGUCGAAUGACCCUUUUUCUACUAGUGGCUUACGCCCAUGCCGAUGGUCGUACUCCUCCGUCUCGAGAAGGAGGAGGCUCGGCGGCGGCUCGAGGCCCUUGUUCGCCCACUUCCUCGCUGCGCGCUUCCUCGCGUCGUCCGAGCGGACAUGCCGCUUGUGCUCGGGGUCGCCGCCCCCGCCGGAGCUGCCACCGGAGCUGCGGCCGGAGCUCCACAUGCGGCCCCACAUGGCGGCUGGAGGAGGAAGGGGGCUCACCGGUGGCGAGAAAUGUGAGGAGGGGGGAGUGGGGAAUUGUGGCGAGACGCGGCGGUGGGGGGAUAGGGUUUCGACCCGCAUAUGCCCCGCGAACCCGUAGAUAUACUGCUUCGGGGGGAGGGGAGAGCGGUUUGUGGGCCGAGUAAAAGAAUUUACGGGCCGGGCGAGUAUACAGGCUCUGUUCUGUCCAGAAAAUUGGGCCGAGUCCAUAUACUCACCAGAAUUUUGCGGGUUUGCGACAUAUACAGGGUCUGCUAGAGUUACUCUCUGAUGUCCUUGAAGUUCCCCACCAGGUUCUCGAGGCAGCGACACGCCGCCUGCCGGUCGGCCGCGUCGGACGCCUUGCCGCUCAGGAUCUUCACCCCGCCGUAGCACCCCGCCGACGGUGCCGUCGCUUGCCCCGUCCCGUAGGACAUGCACGACGCGAUGGCGGACGUCACGUCUGUUGAGCAUACGAUUAUUAUGAAGUACAAGAUAGACUGGAUUUGGUCCUGCCUUAUCUUCUACUUCAAGUUUUGUACUUCUAUAUAUAUGCCCAUAAGGCUUAAGCAAUACGUCAACUAUUUCACCAAUCCCUCUCUAUCCAUUCUCAUGGUAUGAGCCUAACCGAUCCAACACUAGCCGUCGCCCGUCCCUUCCCCUCCGUGCCGCCGCCGGUGGUUGAUCUUCAUGACCGCCGCCGGGGCCACUGCCCGUACCAAGGGUUCGUCCGCCGGUCGUGUUGACCGGUUGCCCUAAAGAGUCUUUUUCCAGAGCCCUUACUCCGGGUUUUUCUCUCUCCCGCCGAUCAUCUUGAUCGGCGUUUUAUUUUUGCUUUUCCAAUUUAAGAUCAGUUUGCGUCGCCUGCCGCCGUCGACCACUGUGUGCCUCUACUCCAACACCGGCGCGACUGGCCGGCUCCUACACCGACCCGGCGGCCUCGCGUGACAGGCGGCCCUUCACGGCCGUGGUCCGCGCGUCUGUCCGCCCGUCACCCUGCGCCGGCCGUCGCGGCCCAGCUCCGACCAGGACCUCUCCAUUGCCACCCGCCUCCGCCGCGUCUACACGGCGGCCCUGUGGUCUGCCUCGCCGGCCUCGUCCCCGGGUGCGUCAAUGACCCACCGUGUUUGUACUCCUGUAUAUAUGUUCGAAAAGUAAUUAAAUCCACCAUGUUUGUAUGAAAGUUGUCAUGUUUGUAUGAAAUCCAACUGUGUUUGCAUGAAUUUCAUCUGGUUUGUUGAAAAAGAAUUUGAAAUGUAUGUGGCUAACUUUGGAUGGCAUCCUCCUGCAUCGGUGUCCGCGGACUGGUCCCCUCUCCCCCCGUCUGCGGACGGAUGCGGGAGGAAAUUUACUGGUUGCCAUUGGAGAUGCCCUAAGUAGGUGGACCGUCGUUGGGAAAUACACUUUGGAACCUGGUUGUAUAUACACCCAUAUAUAGAGUUUUUUCAAUAAUUAAAAAAAGUGAAAAUAGUUUAGAAGUUUUUUUUAGAAUAAACUUGACUUCCUUUCCUACUAGUAUAUAAAUUUUCAGAAAAAAACCAACAUUGACUUGAGGGCAAAAAAGACAAAAUUUAUUUGCUAUUAUAGGUCACUAUUCGCACUAGUAUCACCGGAGUACUAUUUUAGCUAAAAAAUUAUCUUUUUUCGAAAAGAAGUCAAAGAGAGAUUUUCUAUUUAUGGAAUUUUUCUCACGAGUACAAUGAAAGGUCAUGUUCAUUAAAAAAAAUAUUUUCAUUUUUUUGACUUUUUAUGAAUUACUAAUUUUCUUUCCUAUAGGGUUUAGAUACACCCAGAAACCAAACCUCCCCAUCCGACCGUCGUUGUCAAACGCAAAAUGGGACGGACAUCCUUUAAAAUAAAACUCCAAGCUCCCUGGGAAUAAAUAGCUGGGAGCGCUCAGGUUGUCACCAUCACAAUAGGGCCACUGGUCAGAUGAAUUGUUUCUGUACGUUGGCUGUAUAGCUGUUUGCAUGCAUACACCAUGCUUGUGACUCACACGAGGCUGGACGGUGGGUGGUGAGGAGCAUUGCAUCCGCACAUGCACCUUAGAUUAAACGAAGCGACCUAAUUUUCCCGGCCAGUUUAUGGGUCUACCUAAUUAACAAAUAUUUUGGUGAUUAAUCCCUUAUGCUGUACGUGGCAGCACAAAGAAGGCUCAGCUGCGUAUAUAUAAGUGCAUGUGAAUAAUUAAUACUCAUGGCCAGUUAAAUCCUAGCAUGCAUAUAUUGCCAUAAUCCACUAUACAUCAUAUUGGUACAAAAUCUCAUGCUUAUAGGAAUGUAAAAAUGAACAAUGCCAAGCAUCACAUCGUUUAUCUGUGUGAAGAUAAGAUGCAGAAGUCCAUACAAAAACUAGCAAAAUUCAGUGGUCUAUCCACAACACCAUUAACCAAAAUGAUCAAGUGACCGUUCACCCGGUGCAGCAAAGCGCACCUAUCCAUCUAGUUAACAUGAUAUGAAGUAAAUUAUGUGUACGAUCGAUCUAUCCACCUACCAUGCCAUGCAUUGAGAAAAGCAAAGCUAGGAUCUAUGACUAAUGAAGUGUACAUAUUAAUUUCCACCGGCAAAUGUACUGAUCAGGCGGUGCAGAGUGAUCAAUGCCACCAACAUGGGUGCUUUAUUUCUUAACUCCAACUAGUAAGUGGAGUGUAUAUCAAGCAUAUACUUCUACGUAGAAUAUCAUAAGAAAACCAACAUUUAAAGAAAACUUCAUGCAAACCAUCAUUAAAAGUUUUGAAAAAGUAUGGAAAAAAAUAUGGGAAGUUAAGAGGGUGAUAUUCUAUUGCUAUGCAAAAUUCCAAGUUGCAAAACAUUGCGGGAUGCGAGCUAUGGAAAAACAAAUUUCACAGUGAAUAGUUAUGUUAUGUGCUACACUAUUCAAUGUUGAUUUUGUUAUUUUUAUGGGUAACAUCCAAUAAUAUGUUUGAACUUGGAAUUCCACAUCUCAAUAGGACGUCACCCUCUUACAUUCCAUAUUUGUUUUGAGAUUUUCCCAAAACUUCAAACCAUCAUUUUUGUGUGGUUUUCAUUGGUUUCCAUCAAAUUUAGUUUUCAUGGGAGAAUAUCACAUGAAAACCAACAUUCAAAGAAAACUUCGUAGAAACGACCUUUGAAAGUUUCGAAAAAAUCUGAAAAAAAUGGGAUGUUAAGAUGGUGAUGUUCUAUUGCUAUGCGAAAUUCCAAGUUGAAAAACAUUUGUAGUUAAGUCAUGAUUUUCUCUUAAUUAUAUAAAAAUAGGAUCUAUUAUUUAUAUUUCCUUUUAAUUGUAGCAAAAGUAGGAUCUAUGAUUUAUCUUUUCUUUUAAUUAUAGCAAUAUUCCCUACCUAUCAAACAAGUGGUGUAUUCGAUAUGUCUUAAGUUACACUUUUAAAACUUUGAAUAAAAUAUUGUUUCAAAUGUUUUGAUUGAGAACAAGUAAAUAAUAUUACAUUUAAAUUUGUCUCGAAAUGCAUAUUCAUAACAUAAUUUGAGUGAAUUCCAUUUUCACCCGUUACUUUGGCAUUUUUUACACUAAUUAGCCAUUCACACUUUUCAUCCGAACUAGAUGAUCCAUUAAGUCCUUGGCACAAAAACCAAAUGCAACCAAGAAGUUAGGUGAACUAUUAGAUUAUUUUUUUGCUGAAAUACAUGCAAAAUACGAUGAUCUGUUGCGUCCUUGGCGCACAAAUCAAAUGCAAUUGAAAAGUUAGGUGAACUAUUUUUUAUUAUUUUUGGCUGCCCAUAAGAAGGUUUGAAUUGAAUGUUAACCAUCCUGCGCAGGUUUUCAAGAAGAUGUGCCGAGUACACUCAACCGGGUUCGAUAGAUAGUCAAGUUUGACAUACUGGCCGGUACCUAGUCUGUUGCCCUCUCCAACUUAAAGCCGCCCUCGGCCUUGAGGACGAAUAACGACCCAGUCGGCCGUUCCCAGGGAGUCAGCGCUGAGAGGGCGCAACGCAGCAUGGGGUUCCCCGCGAAUGUUGUGGAAAAUUAGUUCAAAUGUGAUAUAAGUUUGCAAAAUGAAGUGAUAAAUAGUGAAGGUUUUGUUUUACGGAACUAAGUUCAUGGGAUGUGUUAGAUGUCAACCCCCCAAUGCCUAAGAUUUUUUGGGAAUUAAGUUUGGGAUCUGUUAGAUGCCAAUCUCCCAAUGCCUAUGAAUUUUUAAGAAUUAUGUUUGGGAUGGGCUUUUGGCCACUAAGUUUGAGGAUGAAUCACUGUUGCCAGAUGCCCAACAUUCGUUCCCGGUGGGGGUGCUGCGAUGGCACCCCAUAGGUCGUCGUUCUUUGUAGAACCUCAUAGAGCAUCAUCUUCUGCUUUGCACCUUUGGUGCACUUGAUGUUGAUAAUUUUAAAACUACAGUUGACAAAAUUGAAUAGCAAAAGCAUAUAAAUUAUUAAGACUUAUGGUAGACCUGCACAUGGGAGAUAGAACAAAUGCAGCAAGACAAUGGAAUAAAACUCACGGUGUUGCGUUGGUUGCACCACUGGACACAAUUCACGCCUAGAUUUAUCGUUUCAUUCUAUUAAGAUAGAAUUUGGAUUUGGAAUUUUUAGAGAUUGUAGAUAUGUGGGCACUCACAAUUUUUCAGAUUUUUUUAAACUUCCUAAUUUUAAUUUUAUGCAGUGGGAUCAUGGUAUCACCAAUAGUGUGGUAUCAUAUCAUACUUUCCCCAGAGGGCAGGAUGAUAGACCACAUACUCCCUCCGUCUCGUUUUAUAGGGAGUGCAUGUAGUUCUAGGUCAUCGAUUUGACUAACUAAAUAUGAGUUAUAUGUCACCAAAAGUACAUCAUUGGAUUCUUAAGCGGAUGUAGUUUCCAAAAAUAUAUUUUUCAUCAAAUAUAAUACAGAUUUAGUUAGCUAAAUUGUCAACCUAGAACGAUGCGCAUGCCUUAUAAACCGACGCGGAGGACGUACAUUGUCCUCUGCACAAUUUUCACCCCACAACAAACAUAUUUAUGAGAAGUAGUAAGAUCCCGAUGGUUAACAUCACAACCCAGAACAAGUCUCUUUUCUCCAUUGUUUCCCUUUGUUUUAAGUGAGAUGUCAUCAAUUUUCCUUUCCAUAUCCACUCUUGGGAGCCUAACCAUAGAUUUUUUUUUGGAGGGGAUGAACAUCACAUCUUUAUUUGGUCUCGUAUAAGAAUCAUAUGUAAGUUAGUUAUGUUGUCUUUGCCAGCGGUUAGAAAAUCAUCGCUUGAUUUAUCAAGUUGACACGUUUUCCCCCCUUGCAUUUAGUUACAAAAUUACAAAUGUGCCGUGUUGGUAUCAAAGACGUUAACAACACUUGCUAAGAUUUCCAGCAGCAACAUGCGGGCAAGAAACUAGUUUAUAAACAGCGAAUGUUAAAAACUUCCGCUCAACACAUUAUUUUAUUGAUGAUUCGAUCAGUAAUCUGCUCGAUCUGUAACAAGGACAACAGAUGGAGGUGGAACACAUGCAGAAAACAACAACGAAUACACGCAGAGAGCAGCAACAGUAGACACCGAGUGGGCUAGCUAGCCUGGUGUGAUGAUGAUGCUCGUAGAUAACUUAAUGAAGGCUGCAAACACACAGACACAAAAGCUCAACGAUUAGUCUUACUAUUUAUACUUACAAAUUAAGAUUAAAUGGCUAACGAGUACUUAGAAUAUAAUCUUUCAAGUUAGGAGUGGAGGAUGUACUUGUUGCAGUUGACGCUGUUGUUGAUGGGGAAAGAGACGGAGACGCCGCACUUGCCGGGGAUGUUGGCGGCGUUACCCAUGCUGAUGCCAUUGAACGACCCCGCCAG